rnacentral:rRNA from 1 species
UGCGCAGGCGGGCUUUUAAGUCAGUGGUGAAAAGCUGCCGCUUAACGGUAGUCUUGCCAUUGAUACUGAGAGUCUUGAGUUUGGAUGAGGUAGGCGGAAUGUGCAGUGUAGCGGUGAAAUGCAUAGAGAUUGCACAGAACACCGAUUGCGAAGGCAGCUUACUAAUCCACGACUGACGCUGAGGCACGAAAGCGUGGGGAUCAAACA